rnacentral:rRNA from 1 species
AUGGUUCUCACUCUAUUUGUUUAUAGACUCUGCUUUAGGAAAGUCUCACAGUACAAUACUACUGACCUCCGCUUCCAGAACCAUGCGGUGCUGGCCCUUCAGAAGGCUGCAGAGGCCUACCUGGUGGGUCUCUUCGAGGAGACCAACCCGUGCGCCAUCCAUGCUAAGCGCGUGACCAUCAUGCCCAAGGACAUUCAGCUGGCUAGGAGGAUCCGUGGCGAGAGAGCUUAA